GCUUAUUUCGUCUCUAAGUUAGGAACUGAAUUUUUGUUUUAUACACGGUUUUAAAAAUGAAGUUAUUUUAUUCCUAUAUUACGAAUUUUGUAACAAUUCAAUCCCUUCCGUUAAGUAGGUAGGAACCACGCUUACUCUUUCCUUCUUUCUCCUCUGUUCUUCAUGACACUUUUUUUUUUCUCUCUUUUUUAUUUCUCUUACCAUUAACUACCUUCACAUUUUUCUCUCUCUUCCACCAUUAUUUGUUCUUCCACCAUUAAUUAUUUGUUCUCUUACCACACACUCAAACACACUUCUUUCUUUCACUCCCUUACCACUUAUUUCUUUUAUGCUUUCAUUGUUCUAAUAUCAAAAUUACCAUUACACUAAUUAGUUGUAGAUGCUCUUUCUUUUUUUACUCUUUAUAAAAAUAAAUCUCAGCAAUAUGUUUUAAAAUUAAAAAAGUUAUUAAUUAUUAUUAUUGCAUUUUUAUAUUUACAGAUCAGUUU
rnacentral:lncRNA from 1 species